CAUAUCAGCUUUCUCAAUAAAAUCUACGAGUUCCGAGUUAUUUGUUUAUAACAAGUAUCUCAUGCCCAUGCAUAUUAGUGCAAAUGCCAGGAACUUGUAGGUUUUUAUUGAGUAAUUGUUCUCUUUCUUAUUUGAUUGAAUUAUGUAUGCUAAUCGCUGAGCAGAUUAUUCUUCAAGCUGGAGUAGAUGUGGGACGUUACUUUCUUGCACAAAUCCAACUUCAAUAUGGAUUUAUUUUACCCUUAUAAAAAGGAAGGGAAGGACUUGUUUGUUUCAAUCUGUUUCUCUGUGGGUGUGUUUGUAUUUCUACAUGUUUGUCUGUAUGUGUUUCUACAUGCUUUGAUGUUUUUCUUAUGUGGAUGUGUUUAUGUUUAUGUGCUUUAUCUAUGUGGGUGUGUUUGUAUUUCUACAUUUUUGUGUGUGGGUGUUCUGUGUUUCUACAUGCUUUGAUGUAUGUGCUAUAUCUAUGUGGGUAUGUUUGUGCUUCUAUGUGUAUGUGUAUGUGGGUGUUUUUCUGCUUCUAUGUGUUAAUGUCUUGGCUUGAAAAGGUUCUUUGUCGACAACUACCGCAGCAGCAGGUAUGUUUUGUCUGAAGGUGAGGAUGUACGGGCAAUAGACUGGGUGCGGAAGAUGAGAAGGAAGCCAACAGCUUUGAACUACCCAUUUCAAAUGCAUUAGUCAGCGGCAGGAGACCAGUGGACGCCACAAUCAAUCUUUUUGAUAAUUGGUCUGUUGUUGAAGGUAUAUUGAAAAAGUUGUCGGGUCCUAUGCCUUUGGUGAAUCGAUAGGUGAAGGUACAAUGCAAACUUCAUAAGCACUUGGAGGUGGAUGCUAAAGCUUCAACCUUGUAUUAUUUCUUGUCAUUUUCGGGGAAAUUGUCAAAGAGGUCAAUUGGCAAAAUUUUACAGCAGGAGCUCCUUGCAUAUGAAGAUUUACAUGUUAUGUACCCAAAUUGUGCCAGAGAAUGCAAUUUGAAAUAAUAGAUAUUCUCCUGCAAGAUGAGUAUACCAUACAAAUUAGCCCUGCACACAUACUGGAAGUUCUACUACGAAAAGGACGCGUAUUGAGGGCCUUUGGCCUUAAAGGUUUGAAGGACUGUAGUCAGUGUUUGACAUAUGCAAUUUCAGCAAUUGGUUGGUAUGUGACUUACUUGAGAUAGACACUGAAACAGAAUGGUGGAGAGCAUGUUGACGGAACACCAAGUUCUCAUCACUUAGAUGUGGGACAUUGCUUGCUUGCUUUAUGUAUCCACAAAUCCUUCAAGAUAUCAAAGCUGCUACAACUCUAUGGUUGAGUAUUCCAAGCUCAAAUUUUGGUCGUGAAUCAUCUGACAGGGGACUAGUUUUACUGUAUAAUAUAGUUGAUUUAUUAGCAGUUAAGGUUUAGCAAUCCCAUCAUCUUUACAUGAAUGUGCAAGAGUCAAGAUCCUCCCUUUUAGUUAUACGAGGACUUGCAAGAUCUUAAUUCCUUUUGUUCUCUUUUUAGUGGACAGAGUUAUGGAUGAUAGUUCUAAAUUAAAUAACAAUACAUUUUUCCUUGCAGGUUGAAAGUUUUGGGCGUUUCCCUAUUUUAGUUAGUUACUGGACUCUUACAAAGGAUCAACUUUUGUAAGGGAGAGACAUAGAAAGAGAGAGAAAAGGGGAACAAGACAAGAGCGGCAACGAGAAAAGGAGAGACUUAUCAAGGAGAAGGAGAAAUGGCGGUGGUUCAGGGUCUAUGCUGUUAGAAGCUCAGAACACCGAUGGACAAACGGCUCUUCACCUGGUUUGUAGACGUAGUAGUACAGAACUUAUUGGCGUUAUAUUGGAGUACAGACAGGCAGAUGUUGGUGGUUUAGAUACAGAUGGCGAUCCCCCUCUUGUCUUUGCUUUAGCUGCUGAAUCUGCAGAAUGUGUCCGUGCUCUUAUCAUGAGAGGGGAAAAUGUCAGGUCUAAGUUAAGAGAUGGUUUUGGUCUUUCAGUUGCUCACGUUUGUGCCUACCAUGGACAACCUGAUUGUAUGCGCGAGCUACUUCUGGUUGGAGCUGAUCCCAAUGCUGUGGACGAUGAAGGUGAAACUGUCCUGCAUAGAGCUGUCGCCAAGAAAUAUACCGAUUGCGCUCUUGCUAUUUGGAAAAUGGAGGCUGUAGGUCAAUGGCGUUCCAAAAUUCAAAAAAUUUGAGGUUGGGUAAGUCCUUGCAGGUUGGGUAAGUCCAGGGUUUUGUUUGAAGGUGAGGAUGUACGGGCAAUAGACUGGGUGCGGAAGAUGAGAAGGAAGCCAACGGCUUUGAAUUACCCAUUUUAAAUGCAUUAGUUAGCAGCAGGAGACCAGUGGACAGAUAAUCAGAAGCAUUCUUUUAAACAAAGAUUCACACAAAGGUCAAUCUUCCAGAGUGCAAGUAGAGAAGCAAAGUUAAUCCUCCAGCGUAGAAAAGGAGAAGCGUCCACCUCAACAUCCACAAGUGCAACUGGUUUUGAAGGAUGUGAAUGGAGCUUCAGAUGACAAGGGUGCUGUUGACGACUUGCAUGUUUUUUCUGGUGAGAAGCUGGAAAAGCGCACAAGAAAUAGGGAUAGACCUGAUCUUGGUGUUUGGACUCCUCCUCGGCGAUCAGAUGGAUCUUAUGCAAGUGAUGAGUCUUUAUCGUCAUUUGCAUCUCAAUCUACACAGUCAUUCAUUAGCCACUUUCCAAGGAUCACAUAAACAUUUUGGUCGUCGGGGACCAUUACAUACUGUGAGGGAUGCUGUUGGCUUACCUGUUGAGGGGAAGCUUUCAGAGGGAGGUGGAAGUGCUUCUGGUUAUGGUUCUCAUGAGUUGCUUGUACCUUAAAUAAUUUGUAUUCAUAUAGAUUCGUCAUUAUAUCUUUUCUCAGUUCCCUUGUUUACUAAUUUUGUUGAAGGUUUAAUGUGUUUGCAGAAGCAAGCGUGGGUUCAAAAGUCGGGAACUGGUUCUUAGGGUUUUUGAGAAGAUGAUCUAGCUAGAGUUCAAGUUUUACAUGAUCUUAAGAAAGUAAUGGAAGGUGGAGCAUUUGUUUUGAUACUCCAAGAUCAAAGUAUACUUACAGAUGGCGAUAUUUAAUAGUGAAGACAUUUUUGAUCUUUUAUGACAAAGUUUGAAAUGUGAAAAGUAGCAAACAGAAGCGUCGGAAACGAGGCUUAUAAGGCUGCCAAGAGCCUUAUAGAGAAAACGGAGUUGGCUUAUUCCCAGUUGGAUUUUCAUUUAUAGCUGCACAUAGUCUCGAAGAAGGAUCAAUUGAGGGAAGUGUCAGAGACAAUGAAGCAGAAGAUACGAGCAGAGUAUGAAACAAUCGGUGGAACUCCAGAUAAGCCUCUAAAGUCUGAUUAUUUCUAAAUAUUAUGAUUGGAAUUUAUAUUCUGGAAAUUCUGAUAUAGUUUCUUGGAAAUUAAUGUUUAAUUCAUGAUGAUUAUUUAAGGAUAGUAUUGUUUUUGAUGUGUAUGGUAAUGCUGUGAGUUCAUUGUAUCUUUAGCUGCUUGUCAAUAAGCAAAUACAUCUAUGCCAAUGUUGUUGAUUCAUGUGAAUUACGUUAACUUUAGUUGUAAUGAAUUGCAACUUGAACUAAUGAGAUAUCAGGUCAAAGAAAAAAGAACUAAUGAUAGAAUCAGUGUGCUUGUGUUUAUGUGCUUUGGUGUUUUUGUAUGUGGGUGUGUUUGUGUUUAUGUGCUUGGGUGUUUUUGUAUGUGGGUGUGUUUGUGUUUAUGUGCUUUGGUGUUUUUAAAUGUAAGUGUAUUUGUGUUUAUGUGCUUUGGUGUUUUUCUAUGUGGGUGUUUAUAUGUGUUUUGUGCUUUGGUGUCCUUCUAUGUGGGUGUUUUUAUGUGUUUUGUGCUUUGGUGUCCUUCUAUGUGGGUGUUUUUUUCUUUCUAUGUAGGUGUUUUAAUGUUACUCUAUGUAAGUGUGUUUGUGUUUCUAUACUUUGGUGGUUCUCCAUGUGGGUGCAUUUGUACUUCUUUGCUUAAAUGUUUUUCUAUGUGGGUGUUUUUAUGUUUCUUUCUUUGUUUCUCUAUGUGGUUUUGUUUGUGUUUUUUUGUUUCUCUAUGUGGAUGUUUUUGUGUGUUUAAUGUUUCUCUAUACAAGUAGUAUGUUCGUGUUUCUAUGCUUUUGUGGUUCUCCAUGUGGGUGCAUUUGUGUUUGUGAGCUUAGGUAUUUUUCUCUGUCUUUGUGUUUCUUUAUUUCUGUGUAGGUGUUUUAAUGUUUUUCUUCUCUCUUUUCUCCUUGUCUUGCUAUGGUCUUUAUUUGUUUGUUGUUCUGGCAACUUGGUUUGUGGUUCAUGUUGAGCUUUCAAUCCUGAAAAAGCUUAGUGGCGCAUUUUGUUGAUAUUAAAUUUGAAUUUUUUUUAUGAAUUAUAGCUCAAGGGCGUGAAUUACCAAUUUUUUAAUGUAUCUUUCAUGAUAAGUUGUUUUGGGAAUUUUACUUGCUCUUUUCUCCGCAUUUAUUCAUCCUUUGGCUACCUUGCAGAUAAACAGCUAAUGCUGCAUGUUGCUGAGUUGGUGUCUCUGCAUCCUGGGCGGACUAAGAAGCAGGACUCUGCAUCCAUAUCAAAUUCUGAAGCCACGUCCAGAAAGGGUGGGAAGAAAAAGAGAUAAUAAUUGACUGCUUAGCAUACACUUUCCUUGUAUUAGACUUAUGUCUCGGCGGGUUUAGGUUUAUUGAGAUUGUCGUCGUCUUUACUUCACAUUGAGGCCUCUCGAACUUUUUGAGAACCAGUCACAUUGAGGCUUCUCAAACUUUUUUGGUCAUAUUAGUUGGCUUAAGUAUUUGAUAGGUGACAUGUUUUUAUAAAUGAUGAAAUACAUAUUGAAAUCGAUAGUGUUAAAUGUAAGUUUUUUAAGAGUGUU